AUUGAACGCUGGCGGCAUGCCUUACACAUGCAAGUCGAACGGCAGCACGGGUGCUUGCACCUGGUGGCGAGUGGCGAACGGGUGAGUAAUACAUCGGAACAUGUCCUGUAGUGGGGGAUAGCCCGGCGAAAGCCGGAUUAAUACCGCAUACGAUCUACGCAUGAAAGCGGGGGACCUUCGGGCCUCGCGCUAUAGGGUUGGCCGAUGGCUGAUUAGCUAGUUGGUGGGGUAAAGGCCUACCAAGGCGACGAUCAGUAGCUGGUCUGAGAGGACGACCAGCCACACUGGGACUGAGACACGGCCCAGACUCCUACGGGAGGCAGCAGUGGGGAAUUUUGGACAAUGGGCGAAAGCCUGAUCCAGCAAUGCCGCGUGUGUGAAGAAGGCCUUCGGGUUGUAAAGCACUUUUGUCCGGAAAGAAAUCCUUGGCCCUAAUACGGUCGGGGGAUGACGGUACCGGAAGAAUAAGCACCGGCUAACUACGUG
rnacentral:rRNA from 1 species